rnacentral:rRNA from 1 species
UACAGAGGUCCCAAGCGUUGUUCGGAUUCACUGGGCGUAAAGGGUGCGUAGGUGGUCAGGUAAGUCUGAUGUGAAAGCUCUGGGCUCAACCCAGAAAUGGCAUUGGAUACUGUCUGGCUAGAGGAAUGGAGGGGGGACUGGAAUACUUGGUGUAGCAGUGAAAUGCGUAGAUAUCAAGUGGAACACCAGUGGCGAAGGCGAGUCCCUGGACAUUUCCUGACACUGAGGCACGAAAGCUAGGGGAGCAAACAGG